rnacentral:rRNA from 1 species
GUAGGUGGCAAGCGUUGUCCGGAAUUAUUGGGCGUAAAGCGCGCGCAGGUGGUUCUUUAAGUCUGAUGUGAAAGCCCCCGGCUCAACCGGGGAGGGUCAUUGGAAACUGGGGAACUUGAGUGCAGGAGAGGAAAGUGGAAUUCCACGUGUAGCGGUGAAAUGCGUAGAUAUGUGGAGGAACACCAGUGGCGAAGGCGACUUUCUGGCCUGUAACUGACACUGAGGCGCGAAAGCGUGGGGAGCAAACAGGGAUUAGAUACCCUGGUAGUCCACGCCGUAAACGAUGAGUGCUAAGUGUUGGGGGGGUUUCCCGCCCCUCAGUGCUGCAGCCAACGCAUUAAGCACUCCGCCUGGGGAUACGGUCGCAAGACUG